ACAUAAAUACAUAAAAACACACAAUUGGAAGCCCAAAUUCACGCCUUUGUUCUUCCCCAAAUCAUGAACUGGAAGCUCCUCCAAAACCCUAACCAUUUGUUGACGAACCCUAACAGUCAAUAUUGGAGAUCCUUCUCCACAAUCGACCCCACCUGUUCAAUAUUUACACAUUAUGCACUUGGAGGGACCACUUGAAGCCGCAUGGACGCCCAAAAUUCAAUGGUUUAGGGAACGAUGAAAAUGCUUUAGAUGGGGCUGAACAUUCCUCGAACGAGGACCCAAUCCUCACUGAUUCUGGUAACGAGUUAGACUCCAGAGAAGAUGAUAAUUUAUAUGAAAGCAAUGUCAUAGAUGAGAUUGGGGUUGGUUUGAACGUGGGUGAAUUGAAUGAUGUGAAUGAGCAUGAUGUUGAAGUUGAUGCCGAGAUUGUUGAUUUAGAGUACCCUUCAUCUGUGUCUGAUUGUUCAUCUGAUGAUGAUGUUGGGUAUCGAUUUCCACAGUUUUGGACAGAGUCUGACAUUAGUAAUCCACAAUUCGUUGUUGGUCAGUUCUUUAGGGAUGUUGUAGAGUUUUGAAAGGCAGUAAGAACUUACGGAGCUUUGAAUGGGUAUAAUGUCAGAUUUAAAGCUAACGAUGGGACACGAGUACAGGGAAUUUGCAAACCUGGUUGUAAUUGGAGGAUAUGGGCAUCCAUCAUAGGUCGGACAGGAAGUCUCCAAGUUAAGUCGUACACUCCGAAUCACACAUGCAGCGGAGACCAAUACAACAAACAUUGCAAUUAUGUCUUUCUGACUAACCGUUAUAUUGAGCAAUUUAAGGCAAACCUGAAAUGGAAGACUAAGAGUAUACUUGCGAUAGUGAAGGAUGAUUUGAAGACUGAUAUUACUCGAAAUGUGGCAUGGAAAAAUGAGAUGGUAUGCAAAGGAAUUGUUGCAUGGAACAAUUGACGAGCAGUUUGGUUAGUUGUGGUGUUAUGUUGCGGAGGUUUUAAGGACUAACCCAGGUUUUUACUGUCGUCAUUGCCAACCACAAUCAAGUUUUCCAAGGAAUCUGUAACUAUUUGGAAGCAUGCAAGAAAGGUUUUGUCAAUGGUUGUAGAAAAGUUAUCGGAGUUGAUGGCUGCCAUUUGCAUGGAUGUUUUAGUAGAAUGAUGUUGACCGUUGUUGGUCAUGAUGCAAAUGACUGCAUAUAUCCCAUCGCGUACGCCAUAGUUCAAAAAGAGAACACCGUAGCUUGGAGGUGGUUCAUGACACAUCUCGAAAGUGACGUUCAUAUUGACAAUGGAAGUGGUUGGACAAUUAUGAUAGAUCACCAAAAGGGGCAUGUUGACAUCCAUGCAGUUAACAUUUGUGAAGCAAAUUUAGAUGAGGCGAGAUAAAAUGAGUGGUUAUGAAGGUCAAAGUUGUCUUAAGAUCAAAAGAAGAGAGCACUCUAUUGUUGAGAGAUCAAGAGAGGGCAUAGUACAUUUUUCUAGUGGUCCUAAAUGGAAAGUGGAUUGUAGUUAUCGUACAUAUGUGGUUGACCUUGAGGAAAGAAGUUGUGCUUGUAGACGUUGGGAGUUGACGGGAAUACCGUGCAUACAUGCUAUGACAAUCCUUCUGCACUGUAGGAACGACCCUGAAGAAUAUGUAGACAAUUGAUACACUACUGAGUCUUAUUUGAAUUGCUAUAGGAACAUCUUAAGCCCUAUUAAUGGUCGAAGCAUGUGAGCAGAGAUCGAAGCGGAACCACCAAACUGGACAAUUACAACUAAAGGACGAAGACAGACUAAAAGAAGGAAAAAUGCAAAGGAAGUCGUGGUGCAUAUGCAAAGGAGAUCGUAUGUCAGAAAAAAUGGACAAGUAAUAAUGACAUGCUCCAUCUGCGGUGUGUGUGGACAUAACAAAAGGCAUCAUUCCAUGCCACAUGUUGUACUAGAUGACUUGUUUGAUGCUCCCUUGACAGAUGUUGAAUCCCAACCAAACACGAAAGUACUUGCAAAUGGAAAAUUGAUUAUUAGCAGAUGAAAUUGUCCAUCGACAAGUCGAUACUUGACGUUAAUGAUUCAAAUAUACUACCAACUGCUGGAAAUGAAAGACGGACUGAUAAACCAACAGAAACAUUGGAGGGAAUGGUUGAUAUGCUAUAAGAAAUACAAGCUGAUGAGUCCUCACAAUUAUGAGCUGCUAGAGUUCACGCACGGCGACAUGCAAACACAACUGUAGCUACAUCUCGUAGAUCAUGGAAUCGUGGACAACUUUGAAUGAAAACAACUUUUUAGUUUAAACAACUUUUGUAGAUUUUGGGCCAAUGACUAGCCACUUAUUUUAUUUUUGCCAAUGUGGAUAACUCUGAAGAAGACAAUUUUGUGGGUUGAAAUUGAAUGCUUAAGGAAAUGUGUAUACAGCUUGAUGUUUUUGAAUAUUUUUGGAGAUGAUCUUUAUGUCAUGAAAAUUAUCCGAAUAUUACCUUAUGGAAAGUUUCUUUAUUUA